GAUGAAGAACGUAGUGAAAUGCGAUAAGUAAUGUGAAUUGCAGAAUUCAGUGAAUCAUCGAAUCUUUGAACGCACAUUGCGCCCGCCAGUAUUCUGGCGGGCAUGCCUGUUCGAGCGUCAUUUCAACCAUCAAGCCCCAGGCUUGUGUUGGAGCCCUGCGGCUGCCGCAGCCUCCCAAAACCAGUGGCGGGCUCGCUAUCACACCGAGUGCAGUAGUUUACUCUUCGCUCAGGGCGUGUGGCGGGUGCUAGCCGUAAAACCCCCAACUUCUCAAGGUUGACCUCGGAUCAGGUAGGAAUACCCGCUGAACUUAAGCAUAUCAAUAAGCGGAGG
rnacentral:misc_RNA from 1 species